CCGGGUGCGUGGACGCAUUGGAGCAUCCGCGUGAGCCCCGAGCAGCAGCGCGAGGAGGCGCCCACCUGCACCUGCCUGCAUCUCUCAACUCCUCCGCCCUGUGCAACUGCCAGCAGCCAAGUGCCAUUAAAGCUGUUGGCCAAGAGGAUGCCUCACCUGGGUCCCCUCUGCUGGCAGAGGCAGGGCAAGGUAGAGGAGAAUUCCCAGUGAAGGACUCAGAACUCUGCGAUUUGAUUUCUUUUCUGCUACAGGCUGUGGAGCACACAAGGAACUGCUCCAUCUGAGCUGUGCCCAGGGCACGAGGAUGGGAGACAGGGAUUAAGAGUCACCGAAAUGGGCAGAGGCAGCUGGCAUCUCACUGGUACUAUUAGGAGAUCGCUGUUUAAUGCCAUUCAAGUCCUGCCAAGCAUCAUUUCUGUAUGACUACCACAAAAGGAUUACUUUACAGAGACUGCUGCCAUUUUGAAGAGUGUGAUUUGGACUCAGAUUCAGAAAACAGGAUCUUCUUCCAUGAGGAAACAUCAGUGUUGAUCACCACACUGGGAUCCAGAAGAGUCCAGUGACCAAGCAUGGCUUCCUCAUGGAGACUAAUUUUGUUCUUGUCUAUCACCAGGUGUCUGUCAGGUAAAAUGCAUGUCUAAUCAUUUGGUUUUUAUUAAUUCUCAGUUAAGAAAACUGUAUGAUGAUCUUCUCACAAAGUUUUGUUUAUGUUGGUUAUAAUUUAUGCUAAUACAGAUAUUGUUUCUUAGAACUAAGCAAGCUUGCCAACAUUGCAGAAUAUUCACAAAGCUCAAUAAUGAAGUACAUUAUAAAAA